GCGAAAGUAGUGUAAUGGUUAUCAUUGUCGCCUUCCAAGCGACAGACCCGGGUUCGAUUCCCGGCUUUCGCA